GCUGGACAAGAAGCAACUGACCUUUCAGCAAAGAAGAUUCAGCCUAGUGUAACAGAAGGAAGGCGCCCUCGAGUGCAAUUCCUACAUACAAGAAACAGAGCUACUGAAGGUCUUGCUGUACCAAAAGAAAGACAAAAGGUUUCCUUUCUUCUUGUAGGAGAGUGUGAUUUGAGGUUGCUGUAGGAUGGGAAUAAUGGGGGAAGACCAGUACUUAUGUUGCUUUGACACUGUAAAUGAUUCUCUGAGGCCCUGAAAACAUCAGUGACA